AACGGAACCUUUCGGGGUUUAGUGGCGGACGGGUGAGUAACGCGUGAGAAUCUGCCCUUGGGUUCGGGACAACAGUUGGAAACGACUGCUAAUACCGGAUGUGCCGAAAGGUAAAAGCUUUAGUGCCCGGGGAUGAGCUCGCGUCUGAUUAGCUAGUAGGAGUGGUAACGGCACCCCUAGGCGACGAUCAGUAGCUGGUCUGAGAGGAUGAUCAGCCACACUGGGACUGAGACACGGCCCAGACUCCUACGGGAGGCAGCAGUGGGGAAUUUUCCGCAAUGGGCGCAAGCCUGACGGAGCAAGACCGCGUGAGGGAAGAAGGUCUGUGGAUUGUAAACCUCUUUUGAUGGGGAAGAAGACAGUGACGGUACCCAUCGAUCAGCUCGAUUCGCCC
rnacentral:rRNA from 1 species